CCUACGGGCGGCAGUGGGGAAUAUUGGACAAUGGGCGAAAGCCUGAUCCAGCCAUGCCGCGUGUGUGAAGAAGGCCUUCGGGUUGUAAAGCACUUUCAGUGGGGAAGAAAGCCUUGGGGCUAAUACCCUCGAGGAAGGACAUCACCCACAGAAGAAGCACCGGCUAACUCCGUGCCAGCAGCCGCGGUAAUACGGAGGGUGCGAGCGUUAAUCGGAAUUACUGGGCGUAAAGCGCGCGUAGGCGGUCUGAUAAGCCGGUUGUGAAAGCCCCGGGCUCAACCUGGGAACGGCAUCCGGAACUGUCAGGCUAGAGUGCAGGAGAGGAAGGUAGAAUUCCCGGUGUAGCGGUGAAAUGCGUAGAGAUCGGGAGGAAUACCAGUGGCGAAGGCGGCCUUCUGGACUGACACUGACGCUGAGGUGCGAAAGCGUGGGUAGCAAACAGGAUUAGAUACCCGUGUAGUC
rnacentral:rRNA from 1 species